GCNNGAGUGAAUAAUUUAACGGCCGCGGUAUCCUAACCGUGCAANGGUAGCAUAAUCAUUUGUCUACUAAUUAUAGACCAGUAUGAAAGGCAAAAUGAAGGUCUAACUGUCUCUUAUAAUAAAUCGAUUAAACUGAUCUCCCAGUAAAAAAGCUGGAAUUCCAACAUAAGACCAGAAGACCCUGUGAAGCUUAAACUACACUAUUAAACCCUAUAAUAGCUACUUUCGGUUGGGGCGACCUUGGAAAAAAAAAGAACUUCCAAACUAUGACCAUACUACCCUAGGCCCACAAGCCACAAACGACCCAGCAUAGCUGAUAUUGAACCAAGUUACUCCAGGGAUAACAGCGCAAUCCUCUUCAAGAGCCCAUAUCAAAAAGAGGGUUUACGACCUCGAUGUUGGAUCAGGACAUCCUGAUGGUGCAGCCGCUAUCAAGGGUUCGUUUGUUCAACGAUUAAUGUCCCACGUGAUCUG
rnacentral:rRNA from 1 species